GGGGAAUAUUGCGCAAUGGGGGAAACCCUGACGCAGCGACGCCGCGUGAGCGAAGAAGGCCUUAGGGUUGUAAAGCUCUGUUUUAGGGGACGAAUGUCACGAUCAGUAAUAUGGGUUGUGAAUGACGGUACCCUAAGAGGAAGCCCCGGCUAACUACGUGCCAGCAGCCGCGGUAAGACGUAGGGGGCGAGCGUUGUCCGGAAUUACUGGGCGUAAAGAGCACGUAGGCGGAGACUUAAGUCAGGUGUGAAAGACCGGGGCUCAACCCCGGGGUUGCACUUGAAACUGGGUCCCUUGAGGGCAGGAGAGGAAAGCAGAAUUCCUGGUGUAGCGGUGAAAUGCGUAGAAAUCAGGAGGAAUACCAGUGGCGAAGGCGGCUUUCUGGACUGACCCUGACGCUGAGGUGCGAAAGCGUGGGUAGCAAAC
rnacentral:rRNA from 1 species